UUUCCGUAGGUGAACCUGCGGAAGGAUCAUUAUUGUAUAACCGAGGUGCGAGGGCUGUCGCUGACCCGAAAGGUCGUGCACGCCCGAGUGCCCUCACAAACCUCCAUCUCACCCCUAUGUGCACCCCCGCGUGGGUCCCCCUUUGGCUUGUUCGGAGGGGGGCUUACGUUUUCACACAAACUUUGUAUGCAGUGUAGAAUGUAUUUUUUGUUUUUGCGAUCACGCAAUCAAUACAACUUUCAACAACGGAUCUCUUGGCUCUC
rnacentral:misc_RNA from 1 species